rnacentral:rRNA from 1 species
AACGAACGCUGGCGGCAUGCCUAACACAUGCAAGUCGAACGAAGGCUUCGGCCUUAGUGGCGCACGGGUGCGUAACGCGUGGGAAUCUGCCCUUGGGUUCGGAAUAACGGCUGGAAACGGCUGCUAAUACCGGAUGAUGACGUUAAGUCCAAAGAUUUAUCGCCCAGGGAUGAGCCCGCGUAGGAUUAGCUUGUUGGUGGGGUAAAGGCCUACCAAGGCGACGAUCCUUAGCUGGUCUGAGAGGAUGAUCAGCCACACUGGGACUGAGACACGGCCCAGACUCCUACGGGAGGCAGCAGUGGGGAAUAUUGGACAAUGGGCGAAAGCCUGAUCCAGCAAUGCCGCGUGAGUGAUGAAGGCCUUAGGGUUGUAAAGCUCUUUUACCCGGGAAGAUAAUGACUGUACCGGGAGAAUAAGCCCCGGCUAACUCCGUGCCAGCCGCCGCCGUAAUAC